GACAGAGGGGGCAAGCGUUGCUCGGAAUUACUGGGCGUAAAGGGCGCGUAGGCGGGAUGGCAAGUCGGUCGUGAAAUCCCUCGGCUCAACCGAGGAACGUCGAUCGAUACUGCUGUUCUUGAGGAUUGCAGAGGAGACUGGAAUUCCCGGUGUAGCUGUGAAAUGUGUAGAGAUCGGGAGGAACACCGGUGGCGAAGGCGGGUCUCUGGGCAAUUCCUGACGCUGAGGCGCGAAAGCGUGGGGAGCAAACGGG
rnacentral:rRNA from 1 species